UAAAGUUAAAGGUAGAAUCAGAAGGAUUUUUGUCGCAGCUGUUCCUGAACGCAUCACAAAGACAGUUGAUUGUUGAGUCAAACAGAGCGUCAGAAAAACAAGCACCUACACAUAAGACUGUGUUUCUGGGUCACCUGACCCGGGUCUGACUGCACACAGACCCGGACCUGGACCAGGAUUGGGUCAGAACAACUUAUGAUGUCAUACACCUGUGUAUCAGUGCAGAUCAGAGCGGAAGUGAAGUCUGAGUCCGUGGCACCAGAUGGUCGUGGGAGUAAAAAAAAAAAAAGAAAAAGAAAGAAAAUCAGGAGGUUGAAGGACAGAAGGACGACUGGAGUUUGUGCUAAUUGCGACAAACAGGAGUAAAAAUACUCGAGUGCAUCACAUCGAGUAAACGCUGAACAAAUGGAGGGUCACGCAGAUGGCCGAGCUGGAUGACGAGAUCUACAUCAGCAGGAUUUUAUGGGAGAAGAAUCAACUGGCCGGAGCUGCAGAGGAGGAAGCGCUCAGAUCGUUUAUCAUCCGGCACAGUGGAAACACUCCCAGACAGAAAAAGAUGUCCCCCCCCUCCUCCUCCAUCUCUGAGGUUUCUUUAAGGAUUUAUUAUCAUCAAUUCCAGAGGCGAAGAAGGAUGGAUGGUGUUUCGUGCUGUACGGGUUGUGAAGCCCCUCGAGUCAAAAUGUGUGAUUUAUGAAUAAAAUUGACUAUUUUAUCUUCGCCCACACCAAAAAAAUAAAAUAAAAUAAAAAUCCAGGAGCGAGAUGAGCCACAUUCUUAAAUCUGAGAGCGCAGCCAGCUUUGUUUUUAC